GAUGAACGCUGGCGGCGUGCCUAAUACAUGCAAGUCGAGCGACCGGACGACUAUCUUACUUUUGUUAUUUUAGCGGCGGACGGGGGAGUAACACGUGUAUACCCCACCUAUUAGACUGGGAUAACUUCGGGAAACCGGCGCUAUUACCGGCUAAUAUUUUGCACCGUAUGGUUCAUAUAUUAAUGACGGUCUUGCUGUCACUUAUAGAUGUAUCCGCGCUGCAUUAGCUAGUUGGUAAGGUAACGGCUUACCAAGGCAACGAUGCAUUGCCGAACUGACAGGGGGAUAGGACAAACUAGAACGGAAACGAGGUACGGACUCCUACGGGAGGCAGCAGAAGAGAAAGUUACGCAAGGGGAGAAAGCCUGACGGAGCAAAGCCGCGUGAGGGAUAGAAUUAAUGGGAUCGGAAAACUCAGCUAUUAGGGAAGAACACAUGUGUAAGUAACUGUGAAGAACUUGACGGUACCUAAGCAGAAAGCAACGGCUAACUACGUG
rnacentral:rRNA from 1 species